rnacentral:rRNA from 1 species
CGAAGGGUGCAAGCGUUAAUCGGAAUUACUGGGCGUAAAGCGUGCGUAGGUGGUUUGUUAAGUCUGCUGUGAAAGCCCUGGGCUCAACCUGGGAAUGGCGGUGGAUACUGACAAGCUAGAGUGCGGUAGAGGAGGGUGGAAUUCCCGGUGUAGCGGUGAAAUGCGUAGAGAUCGGGAGGAACAUCAGUGGCGAAGGCGGCCCUCUGGACCAGCACUGACGCUGAGGCACGAAAGCGUGGGGAGCAAACAGGAUUAGAUACCCUGGUAGUCCACGCCCUAAACGAUGCGAACUGGACGUUGGGCACAAUUCGGUGCUCAGUGUCGAAGCUAACGCGUUAAGUUCGCCGCCUGGGGAGUACGCUCGCAAGAGUG